GACGAACGCUGGCGGCGUGCUUAACACAUGCAAGUCGAACGGAAAGGCCCUGCUUUUGUGGGGUGCUCGAGUGGCGAACGGGUGAGUAACACGUGAGUAACCUGCCCUUGACUUUGGGAUAACUUCAGGAAACUGGGGCUAAUACCGGAUAGGAGCUCCUGCUGCAUGGUGGGGGUUGGAAAGGUUCGGCGGUUGGGGAUGGACUCGCGGCUUAUCAGCUUGUUGGGGGGGUAGUGGCUUACCAAGGCUUUGACGGGUAGCCGGCCUGAGAGGGUGACCGGCCACAUUGGGACUGAGAUACGGCCCAGAAUCCUACGGGAGGCAGCAGUGGGGAAUAUUGCACAAUGGGCGGAAGCCUGAUGCAGCAACGCCGCGUGCGGGAUGACGGCCUUCGGGUUGUAAACCGCUUUCGCCUGUGAUGAAGCGUGAGUGACGGUAAUGGGUAAAGAAGCACCGGCUAACUACGUG
rnacentral:rRNA from 1 species